rnacentral:rRNA from 1 species
GACGAACGCUGGCGGCGUGCUUAACACAUGCAAGUCGAACGGAAAGGCCCUGCUUUUGUGGGGUGCUCGAGUGGCGAACGGGUGAGUAACACGUGAGUAACCUGCCCUUGACUUUGGGAUAACUUCAGGAAACUGGGGCUAAUACCGGAUAGGAGCUCCUGCUGCAUGGUGGGGGUUGGAAAGUUUCGGCGGUUGGGGAUGGACUCGCGGCUUAUCAGCUUGUUGGUGGGGUAGUGUCUUACCAAGGCUUUGACGGGUAGCCGGCCUGAGAGGGUGACCGGCCACAUUGGGACUGAGAUACGGCACAGACUCCUACGGGAGGCAGCAGUGGGGAAUAUUGCACAAUGGGCGGAAGCCUGAUGCAGCCACGCCGCGUGCGGGAUGACGGCAUUCGGGUUGUAAACCGCUUUCGCCUGUGACGAAGCGUGAGUGACGGUAAUGGGUAAAGAAGCACCGGCUAACUACGUG